AUGUAUGUGAAGCUAGCUGAUUACCCAGGAAGCUCCCUCUCUGUGCCAGAGUGCACUUCCUUAUCUAUGUUUGCAGCCCAAUCUUCCAGGCUGCUCUUUGUUGUUUCUUGGGCUGCUUUUCGUUAGAAGGAAAGUUCUGCCGAGGACUCUGCCCUAUCUGCCUUGCUAGUUUCUUUCUACUGUCUCUCUCACUAGUUUUUCAAAAGUCCUUUUCUGGGCCCCAAGGAGGGUGAUUUGAUGAGGAUAACAUGGGACUUGAUGUGGAUUUGAAUAUUGUCUCUACCACUAUUUGUAGCUAUUUGACCUUCAACAAUCAAUGCCCUUAAGAAUGCAGUGAGAUAUGCACAGAGUGCCUGUGACAUCACUGUAUGGGUCUGAACUCUCCAGAGAAACAGAAUCAAGUGGAUAUGGAGAGAGAGAAAAAGAUUUAUCUUAAGUCAUUGGCUCACACAAUUGUAUAAACCUGGUGAAUCUAAAAUCUGACUGGGGAGGCCAACAGGCUGAAGACUGACUCAGGAAAAAGUUGAAAUUCAAGUCUGAAGACAGUCUGCUGGUGAGCCAGGAAAAGCCAAUGUUGCAGAUGAAGUUGGAAAGCAGUCUGCUGGCAGAACUUCCUCUUGCUCAUGGGAGGAGACAGCACAGCACCUAGAACCAAGAUUUUGGAAUCUGACAGACCCAGAAUCAAAUGCAGCCACAGCUAUUUACUAAGUGUGACAUUGAGGUUUAUCUAAGUGUCACCCCCUUCAAAGCUGAAAAGUACACAGGAACAUCAUCAACGGUGUUUAGUACUUCUCAUGUGGCCCCAUGAUCAUCAUGUUUGAGAUACUUCUGCAAGAAGCUCCAAACAGUGAACUACUGAGAGAACACUUGUGGGAAUAUUUGCAGAGACAAACAAAUGCCAUCUUAAAAUACCAGCUACUGUAACUUACCUACAACAAGUAGGCUUCUUGGUCUGUAUUAACCCUGUAGGUACUAUUGUUGAAAUAGGCAUCUCCCCUACUCAGGAAUGUGGGCAAAUCUGAUCAUGCCUCUUUAAGGUUCUAAUUUGACAGAAGCACGUGAAUAAGCAAUCAUUUAGAAGAGUAUAUGCCUCCAAAUCAGAGCAAUACAAAUAAGAGCAGGGAAAGCUAUUUCACUUCACUGCUCACUUCCCAAGUAUCCAAGUAAAACACUUCCUUAAAGUGUCACAUGCAUUAGAACACAAAGGAGAAAAACAGGCAGAGGUAAGCAAAGUUUAAAUCUGUAAAUCUGUUCUUUAAGACUCCAGUUAAUAAAAACUCAGGGAUUCUACUUGGAAUAUCCUACGCAUAACAUCAUAAUGUCAAUAAUCCAACAGAAUCAAGAGCCCCAGAAUCAGGGUCUAGAAUGCCAGAUGAAGAAUAGAGAGGAAUCCCCAUGAAUCCUGGCGUUUUGUAUAAUGGCAAACACUAAGAAGUAAGAUAGAAAGAGUGAAAUCCUAUUGACACUGUUGAGUCUGGACACCAUCCUAAAAAUGUCCCAUUUCACUAAUUGGAAGGGCAUCCAAGUAAGGAGAAGCUUGAUGCCAUAUGACAACAUCAGCUAAAGAAAUCAAGCCUUUUGCAAAUAGCUCUACAUGAUGUUUCUGCUAAGUGUGCCGUAUUGAUGGAGGAGGGAAAGAAAGAAGGUGUUUUAUCUUUAAGCCUCAUUUAGCUCACAGGAUGGCUGCUCACCUCAGGACAUCACAUCUACAUUCCAGCAAAGGGAUUGAAAUUCAACACAUCGCACACCUUUUCAAGCCACUAUCGCAGAUUGGAUGCUGCCACUUUCCCUGGGACCUGUUUAUCCACCAUUAAUCUCUUCAAGUCUGACCACCAACAAACCUGUGGGAUGAAGCUGGGAAUUGUCUUCUCCAAUAGCAAAGAGCUUCCUAAUGCAUGACGACAUGCAAAGAUUGGUGCUUCCCUGAGACCUGCCCACUAGUCACCACAUGCAGACAAUGGACACUUCACACCUCACUGAUGUGAACCUCCAGGAUUGACCCUUGUCUUCCACAGAGCUGGAUUUGUGAAAGGAUGACAGCAACCACAAGAAAAAGAAAUCAGUGAGCCACAUUAAAACGCCUUUAUUCCCUGCAACAGUUAAAGCAACAAAAUCUAAUGACAUGAAAUAAACACUGCAAAACUGCAUUCUGA